rnacentral:rRNA from 1 species
UACGUAGGGUCCGAGCGUUGUCCGGAAUUACUGGGCGUAAAGAGCUCGUAGGUGGUUUGUCGCGUUGUUCGUGAAAACUCACAGCUUAACUGUGGGCGUGCGGGCGAUACGGGCAGACUUGAGUACUGCAGGGGGAGACUGGAAUUCCUGGUGUAGCGGUGGAAUGCGCAGAUAUCAGGAGGAACACCGGUGGCGAAGGCGGGUCUCUGGGCAGUAACUGACGCUGGAGGAGCGAAAGCCGUGGGGAGCGAACAGG